CACGUAGGGGGCGAGCGUUGUCCGGAAUCAUUGGGCGUAAAGAGCUCGUAGGCGGCUCAGUAAGUCGGGUGUGAAACCCUCAGGCUCAACCUGGGGACGCCACCCGAUACUGCUGUGGCUAGAGUCCAGUAGGGGAGUGUGGAAUUCCCGGUGUAGCGGUGAAAUGCGCAGAUAUCGGGAGGAACACCAGCGGCGAAGGCGGCACUCUGGGCUGGAACUGACGCUGAGGCGCGAAAGCGUGGGGAGCAAACAGG
rnacentral:rRNA from 1 species